rnacentral:tRNA from 1 species
AGCGGGAUAGCGCAGUGGGUAGAGCAUCGGGCCCAUACCCCGAAGGUCGACGGUUCAAGUCCGUCUCCCGCGA